AAGGAAACCAUUUUAAAGCUGAAAAAAUCAAAUCAGAGGCAUUGCACAAACAUUUGGCAUAGAAAAUAUAACAAUUUAUAAUGUCCUGAAAAAUAAAGAAACCCUGGUGUACAACAGACACCGAAUGGGGCAGCCAAGAUAAACAACAGCUGAUGACAGAAACAUUGUGAGAGAUGUGAAGAAAAACCCAAAAAUAUCAUUCAGUGACAUCACCAACAACCUCCACAGGGCAGGGGUGAAGGCAUCACAAUCCACUGUUUGAAAAGAUUUCAAGAGCAGAAGUAUAGAGGCCAAACCAAAAAAUGCAAAGCACUUAUCAGCAGAAAGAAUCAGAGUCAGAUUGGAUUUCUGCAUAGGAAUGCAAAGACCUCUACAAAAUUGACGGAAAGUCUAAAAUGUGGAGAAAGAAAGGAUUUGUUCAUGAUCCAAAACAUAUAAGCUCAUCUGUGAAACAUGGUGGAUGUAAUGUCAUGGCCUGGGCUUGCAUGGCUACUUCUGGAACAGGCUCACUAAUCUUCAGUGAGCAGCAGAAUGAAUUCAGAAGUUUACAGGAACAUUUUGUCUGACAACAGAGAAAUUCCUUCAAAAUAACACACAAUAAAACAAACAACCAAAAAAACAAACAAACAAACAAACAAAAAAAAAAAACACACAAAAAACCCUGAAAGAGGCUGUGGUAAAAAACCUUGCAAAGCAUCACAAAAGAAGAAACCAAUAAUUUGGUGAUGUCGCUGAGUUGCAGGCUUGAUGCAGUUAUUGCAAUCAAAAGAUAUGCAAUCAAAUAUUAGGUGUUAUUCAUUUUAAUUCAUUUCUAUUCUUUUGCUCGCCUAAAAAUUGGGUGGUCUGAUACAAAAGGUUACAUGUUUUAUGUUUUUUUUUUUUGUUUUGUUUGUUUUUUUUUUUUUUUUUACAUGUUUAGAUGUAAAUACCAGGAAAUAAAAGCUGAAAUCCUAAACUCUCAUCUUGUAUCCAUCUUUUGAUCUCAACCCCAGAUGUCUUUGGUGUAUAGUUCAAACAAAUGAAUUAGCCUUGCAGUUCCAAUAGUUUUAGAGGAGAUUGUAACUAUAGUGUUUAGGAUACAGUGUUAGAAGAUCUUUCGUUUUGAUAUAUUGUAGGUAAACAGUUUGAGUCAUUCUGAUUGGUACCGCAUUGUGGACAGAUUAUAGGCAAAUAAUUCAGGACUUUAUAAAAUGUAACUAUUCUUCCCAAAACAGAUCUGUCUAACAGAAGCUGCAAUUUUGAAAUAAAAUCUCUGGGGAAUGAUCCUGCACAUCCUGAGACCAGUGCACCGACCACUGAAGUGAAUUCACGUCAGUCUGUGCAAUCGAAAGGGAGGAAGGGACCUGGCAUAGCUUCAUCACCAGAAGAGAAUACCAGCAGUGGCAGCACCAAAGAUUGGUUGGUCAUCUUGAUUGUGAUUGUGGCCAUCGUUGCUAUUAUUAUUCUGGGUGCUUUUGUGGUAACAAGGAACAGGUGGUGUGGGAGAAGCCAGACUCUGAUGAUCACCUCCAAGAGCAGCGGUGAGGGCAAUGGGACAGCAGCAUCAGCGGCCAGCCCCGAGGCUCAGGAGAGAGAGCAGGAAAUGGUGACGCUUAUGAACAAAGAGAAGAUCCAGGAGAAUGGCAACACGGAGGAGUUUACUGUGAUCACCCUGGAAGAAUCACCAGAGAAAAACCAGGAAGCAUGAAAGACUGAAUGAGACGGGUUGAGGAUGAGGGAUCAAAAGGUUGGGGGAGAGAGUGAUGGGUCAUGGCUUAAGUCUUAACCAGAGAGAUAGAAGCUGUUAGACACUUUGGGAGCCAGACAGACACUCAGAUACUGUUGGUGACAUAAAGUGUCAAAAGUCUUGUUUGGUCUUUUUAUAUGAAAAAUUUCCAUUUCCUUAAGGGUAAGGAAUCUACUAUAAUUUUCCUGUGGCUUCAAAACAAACAACACAACAAAGUGUUAUAUUUUAGACAAAAGGGAAAAAUUAAAGAUUUCUCUACACGCCAUGGAGACAUCCUAAAUUUAAACCUCUGGGCUCUUAAUUCUUUUCUAGUUUCAUUUUGCCUUUCACAGUGAGAAAACCUGAUGGUUAAUCUAGCACAAAUGAGAAUGUUCUUUUGAACUGAUUUCACCUUUUUUUGCUCCCCAAAUUUAGGGCUAAUCAACAUAUUAAGGAUGAAACAAAAGCUGAUGGAAACCAAAUUUUAUGAUCUCAAUAAAAUAGUUACAGAGAUGGUGAUACUGCUCACCAGCUCAUGUCUCCUAACUUCCCCAUCGCAUGCCUGAUACUACUAAGGCCUCUUAACACAGAUAAGACACAUUUAUCAUCUCCUAAUGUCAGUUAUUAGAUGUAAAAGUCGAUUAUAGCUUCCAGCUUAUCUAAAAACCGUUUCACAAUUAUAACGAGUAUUUAUUUAAAUUGGAUUGUGGGGAAAAACACUUAAACUUUAUUUCAAUAUUGUGGUGUGCAGUGUGGUUCUGUGCAGGUUAUAGGAUAGUAAUGAGGGCGGCAGAGAAAGAUGUAUGGUUUUAAUAAAGGUCAUUAAUGUCCAUGCACAAAGCCAUCAUAGUGCUAGAAUUCAUCUUCAGUGGGUUUCAAAUGAAACAAGAAAGGACAAAUAAAGUGAAAUGAAGAGGCAGAGAUGCUGAUACGUGUUUUAGAGUCUUUUGAAAAUGUCUUUUCUGACUUUUUUUUUUUUUUUUUUACCCCUGCGAAUGAUGUGUUUUUGUUUGUUUGUUGUUUGUUUGUUGGCUGGUUGGUUGGAUGAUUGGUAUUUUUUUUUUUUUUUUUUUGCAUUUAAUUUAUCCUUUUGUAUAUACCACUAUGCUUGUUUACUAUUGUAUGAGAUUGGAAUAGUCAGACCGUCAUAUCCAUUUCUUUAGUCAGUGUAACUGAAAACCAAUUUGCACCCUUAUUGAUGAAGUAAUAUCACACUGUAACUUGAUACCAAUGUUUUAAUAUUUUUGAUCUCCAAAAGUCUAUCAAAGAACAUGUUGGAACAAGAAAAGCUAUUGAAAAUUAUAUAUCAUUAUUCUUACCAUCUGAUCAUGCAUAUGCAAUUUACAUAUAUUUACUCUCAUGACAGUUGGGCUAUAAAAUGCCAUUAAUACAGUGUACCAACAUAACCAGUGAUGCAGUUAUUUAUUUUAAGAUGGAACAAAGUGCUUAAAUUAUGUCUUUUAAUGUUCAUACUUUGCACCUUACAUUGCCACCAAAAGCUUGAAGCAUAUGUACAUAUUAGCAUACAUAAGCUUUCUCCACAUACAGACAUUUCAGUUUCAUAUUUCUGCUUUUUUCUCUUUUGUCUUUUUAUGAUGGCAUCUACUCUUGAACGUGCUUUGUUUAAGAAAGAUUAGCAUAUGCAGUAGUGGUAGGAGUGUGUACAUUGACCAAAUAACUCAUUAUUGUUAAUUAAAAAUAAUUUUGUGAGGUCCAGGAUUAAAUAAAAAAAUGUAUAGAUGUGUUUUCUUGCAUCAUUCUUGUUUGAUAUGCAACUGCAUGAGCGAUUGUUAAGAGCACUAUGUAUUUGAGAAAGACUUGGAGGGGGCAGGUGGGGGGUGCGGGUGGUGAAAAAUGGUGUGUUUCUUUGAAGCAGGAGGGAGUGUAGUUGCCAUGGCAUCCAAGUCAUGAUGGAAGAGGGUAUUAUUUCUCCCCCCAGCAUAGAGACACGAGAGAUGGAAGCCAUUUUGAGAAAAUAGAAUUUUUCUGGUUAUGGAUUUUGUUCUUUAGAAUUAAAGUUUUGUUAAAUUUAAAUUACACCUAAAUACUGAAAUAUGACAAAGACAAAGUAAAAAGAAUUGUACAGUGAUAUUUAACCAAUCAGAUACCAGGAAAGAUUUCUUGAAUAUUGAUAUGGCUCUCAUGGACUUACAGUAGCACGUUGAGUUGUGUGACUUAAUGGUGUGCAUUUAAUUUUACAGUAACUACACUAAGAAAUAUGACCUCAAAACAGAGAAAUGGACAUCAUCAGACUAUUAAAAUUACAAUUGGUGACUCCAUAAUCUCAAAAUACAAUUAUUAUAGAAUUUUAAAUAAUGCACAUGAAUGUUUUUACAUUAAAAAAAGAAAUUACUUUUCAAAGUGUUUUGCACACUGAGUUUCUCUUAAUUUCUCUAGAGCUGUCACAUACAGUAUAAUAUUGAACUACUUUCCCUGUUGGUUUAUUGCCUCAGACUCAUCUUCAAGAGAGGCAGCACUGACCUGGGCCACUUCCCCCAUGUAUGUCAUUACAGUGCCAUAUUGCCAUAUUUUGACUUGCCCAAUAAAGUGCCAUGCUGCUCCCACAUCUCAACUGUCACAAGAUCACAGGUGAUGUCCUCACCUUCACUAUGUGCCCAGUAAAUGAGGAACCUCAUGGAUUAUUGUAUUUUUGAUGCUUAACAGAGUGUGUUUGUAGCAUCCCAGAAUCACACAUGUAAAUGAUGUCAGUUCAGUCCCUUGACCAGCAGUAAGCAGUAAGCAAUGACUAUGAAAUUCAGGAAGUGUGUCCUCUUGGAAACUUAUUUUACUAAGCUUUAACAGAUCAUGUAGAAACCACUCAAUGGAAUGAAGCAGAAAGUGUAGGAGCCAGUGGGCUAUAAAUAGUGUUUUGCAAUAGUGUUCUGCAAUAUCCGAGAGGCAGCCACUUUUACUUCUUCUGCAAUUUUCUUCUUCAGAUAGAUCGCUGAUAAUCUCUGACAUGUUCAAAACUCAAUGUUAAAAAUUUUGGUCAAAAUAUUUCAUGUGUAUGUAUGUGUUUGUAUUCCAGGUCCAGCCCAUAGACACAUCAGAAAAAUGUCUCCUUCCUGAUUGGCCAGUUCUCUGGUUUUCAGUUCUAUUUGAAUACUUCACUUUUUUUGUCUUGCACAGAUUCCGUUUGGUAUAACUGUGAUCUGUGUUUUUGGUUUGUCUUAACUCUUUCAAUGCUUGUGAUCUGUAUGUAAAUAUCAGGCAUACAAUUGUAAAUAACCUGAUUAGGCAGUUCAGAAAGUAGGGAGACCAACUUCAACCAUUUAAAAAAACAAUCCUUUUUUCUCCUGUUAGUGCUAGUUAGUAAAAAAAAUUUUGCCUACACUUUUCUAAGUGAACUGAUGUUAUUCAUUU
ensembl:lncRNA